UACGUAGGUCCCGAGCGUUGUCCGGAUUUAUUGGGCGUAAAGCGAGCGCAGGUGGUUUAUUAAGUCUGGUGUAAAAGGCAGUGGCUCAACCAUUGUAUGCAUUGGAAACUGGUAGACUUGAGUGCAGGAGAGGAGAGUGGAAUUCCAUGUGUAGCGGUGAAAUGCGUAGGUAUAUGGAGGAACACCGGUGGCGAAAGCGGCUCUCUGGCCUGUAACUGACAUUGAGGCUCGAAAGCGUGGGGAGCAAACAGG
rnacentral:rRNA from 1 species